CCGUAGCUCAAUGGAUAGAGCGUCUGCCUCCGGAGCAGAAGGCUGCAAGUUCGAAUCUUGUCGG
rnacentral:tRNA from 1 species